CUUGAUCUUUGAAGGAUAUAGCAUUAUUUGGGAACCGUUUUAAAAGAUUUAGAAAUGCCUGGAUGCAACAAGGACAAGGGCAGAGCCUGGAACAUAUGCCCUGGGAUCCCAAAGUAAGACCAGUAGUGACUGGAUGAGCAUCCAUAGACCCCAUUCAUACUAGUCACUGUGUGAAGCUGGAGAAUGAUCCCAGGAAUUCACUACAAGAUUCAGUGGCUUCUCUAGAAAUUCAGAAAUGGAACUACUAAAGCCCAUUGAUGCUCAGACUCCUGCUGUUGAUUGUUGCUGACUCUUGGAUCCUUAUCAAACCUAUCACUGCAGUUGAUAAACUAGUGUAGUGAAGAUAUGAAAGUUGUUUGGUAUAUUCAUUUAUGAUAAUGAGUAGAAUGAAAGUGGAACAAGAAAGAUAUACAUCUGAAAUUUACUCAUUCAUCAAUGAUGUGAGAAAAUUGAAUAACAGAAUAAUACUGGAAGAAUACGUUUUUCGGUUUUGCGUGUUACUGAGAGACAUGACA
rnacentral:lncRNA from 1 species